CACAGACCUGGAGUCCACUUCCCCUUUCCUUCAACCUUCUAGCUGUGUGACUUUCAGAAAAUCAAGUAACCUUCCUGAGCCUCAGUGUUUCAGCCUCCCAGAGCCACCGUGAAGAUGAGAUGCUGUGAUGGAUGGAGGUGUGUGGCAGGCAGAAUACUGGAAAUCAGAUAUCCAUGUCCUGAUCCACAGAGCCUCUGAAUGUUACCCGACACGGCAAAGGGGAAUUUGCAGGAGUGAUUACAUUAAGGAUUUUGAGAUGGGGAGAUUAUUCUCGAUUAUCCAGAUGGGCCCGAGGCAGGCAUCAGGGUCUUAUAAGAGGAGGCGGGGCAGCAGAUUGGAGAGGUGGAAAGUGAGGAGACAGUAGAAGCAGACACUGGAGUGAUGUGGCCACAAGCCAGGGAAUGCUAGCAGACUCUGGAAGCCAGAGGUGGUGAGGAUCAGCUUCUUCCCUAGAGGCCUCAGGAAGAACCAGCCUUGCCGACACCUUGACUUUAUCCCAGUGACGCUGGCCGCCACACCUGUAGGGGAGUAUACAUGGAUGUGGUUUUAGGUCACUGAGAUCGUGGUAAUUCAUCAUAGCGGCCACAGGAAAUGGAUACAGGAUGUUGUGAAGAUAGACAGUCCUCCACAAGGAGAAGGAUUUGCUGUAACGUCGUCAGAGCAGUCACACAUUAAGGAAGGCUUUCCCUGGUGGCGCUGUGGAUAAGAAUCCGGCGACCAACACAGGGGACAUGGGUUCAAUCCCCAGUCCAGGAAGAUUCCACGUGCCACAGAGCAACUGAGCCGGCUUGCCACAACCACUGAAGUCUUCAUGCUCUAGGACCCGAGAACCACAAUUACUGAGCCCCUGUGCCACAGCCACUGAAGGCUGAGAGCCUAGAGCCCAUGAUCUGCAACAAGAGAAGUCACUGCAGUGAGAAGAAGCUAGAGCGCCAGAAGUAGAGAGUAGCCCCCGCUCCCUGCCCGCAUGCAGCAAAGAAGACCCAGCACAGCCAAAAUUAAAUAAAUACAGCAGUGUGUAUAAGUCAAAAAAUAAACUAAUUAAAAAAAAAAGAAAAGAAAACUCUGGAAGGUUUCUCCUGGUCAAUGGGUAUCCACACAGAUCUCACAAAAGGUUCUUAGUGUCACUGUGAGUUUUCCUCUGAAAGCCUUUUUCAGAACUGGGCAUCCUGAGUGAUUCUAGAAUUUCAAAAUCUGUGGAGGGGAGCAAGCUGGAGAAUCCUUUUGUUCACGCAAGUUCAGCUCCUCUGGAAAUUGGGAGCCAGCCCUCAAAAAUCUCAGAUGUUCUUGAUGUGAGCCUCUCGGAGACCUUCAGAGGCGAUCCCUGGCUGAGGACUUGCCAACCUCAAGGGUAACCUCUGUGCCUUGAAACUGUGAAGUUAGAGCAAGAAGCCGGUCACACAAAUAGCCUUGCAACCUGAGUGUGCACGCAUCAGGAUCGCUUGGAAGGCUGCUGAUGCAGACUGCUGAGCACCCCCAGCCCAGGGAGACUCAAAGUAUCCGCGCUGAGACUGGACAAUUUGCAUUUCUUCGUUUGUUUGCUGAAAUGUGACCCAUUCUUGUGGGAUGAUGCCAACACUGGAUGCAGGACUAUUUUAAAGUCAUUUGGACCUAAUCUCACUUUCACAGAUUCUGCUCCUUAUUACAUCAAAUAUAUUAAAACUUAGCCCAUUACACAUCAAAGCAAGUCUAUUUUGCUACAAAUUUUACAAGGACUUUUAUAAAUUUGCUUUUAAUAAAUAUUUACUGUGUUUAUAAAUAAGUCAUUAAUAAUAAUAUAAUUUAUAAUAAAUUAUUUGUUUACUGUAAUUCAUAAAUAUAUAAAUAAUUUGUUUAAUAAAUAAUUUACUGUAGAC
ensembl:lncRNA